rnacentral:siRNA from 1 species
UGAGAAUCUUGAUGAUGCUGC